rnacentral:rRNA from 1 species
UACGUAGGGCGCAAGCGUUGUCCGGAAUUAUUGGGCGUAAAAGAGCUCGUAGGCGGCUUGUCACGUCGAUUGUGAAAGCCCGAGGCUUAACCUCGGGUCUGCAGUCGAUACGGGCUAGCUAGAGUGUGGUAGGGGGAGAUCGGAAUUCCUGGUGUAGCGGUGAAAUGCGCAGAUAUCAGGAGGAACACCGGUGGCGAAGGCGGAUCUCUGGGCCAUUACUGACGCUGAGGAGCGAAAGCGUGGGGAGCGAACAGG